rnacentral:rRNA from 1 species
UACGUAGGGUCCGAGCGUUGUCCGGAAUUACUGGGCGUAAAGAGCUCGUAGGUGGUUUGUCGCGUUGUUCGUGAAAACUCACAGCUCAACUGUGGGCGUGCGGGCGAUACGGGCAGACUGGAGUACUGCAGGGGAGACUGGAAUUCCUGGUGUAGCGGUGGAAUGCGCAGAUAUCAGGAGGAACACCGGUGGCGAAGGCGGAUCUCUGGGCCUUACCUGGACGC